AGUGAACGCUGGCGGUAGGCCUAACACAUGCAAGUCGAACGGCAGCACAGUAAGAGCUUGCUCUUACGGGUGGCGAGUGGCGGACGGGUGAGGAAUAUAUCGGAAUCUACUUUUUCGUGGGGGAUAACGUAGGGAAACUUACGCUAAUACCGCAUACGACCUACGGGUGAAAGCAGGGGAUCUUCGGACCUUGCGCGAAUGAAUGAGCCGAUGUCGGUUUAGUUAGUUGGCGGGGUAAAGGCCCACGAAGGCGGCGAUCCGUAGCUGGUCUGAGAGGCUGAUCGGCGACACUGGAGCUGAGACGCGGUCCAGACUCCUACGAGAGGCACCAGUGGGGAAUAUUGGACAAUGGGCGCAAGCCUGAUCCAGCCAUACCGCGUGGGUGAAGGAGGCCUUCGGGUUGUAAAGCCCUUUUGUUGGGAGAGAAAAGCAGCAGGUUAAUACCCCGCUGUUCUGACGGUACCCAAAGAAUAAGCACCGGCUAACUUCGUG
rnacentral:rRNA from 1 species